rnacentral:lncRNA from 1 species
CCUGGAGGCCUCCUUUACUACUUCAUGAGCAUCUUGAAGAAGACAAGUCCCACUGCAAGAGAGAAGAGGGGACAAGAGGAAGAAGACGGUGGGGGAAAGAGGGAAGGUGGAAAGUAAGGCUGAUGCCUGAGCUGUAAACUCACCAAAUUUUAAUGGUUUACCUUAACCAAAACUUACGAUGUUCUUCUAGGCCAUGCACACGGCAUGUGGAAGUUCCUGGACCAGGGAUCGAACCUCACCACAGCAGUGAUAACACUGAGUCCUUAACCACUAGACCACCGGGGAACUCCCCCAAACCUAUAGUGUUAAAAAGCAUUAUAUUGAACCACAGCCAUGCAGUACUAUCCUCCCAAGAAAUAUUUUAAAAUAUUUAAGCCCCCCUUCCAUAAACUUGUAUAUGUAAAGUCCGAGUAUAAAAUGAAGCCACCAGAAAGAUCCUAACAGUAAAGCAGCACAAUUCUAACUUAGAUCAUAGUUGUGUUUUAAUCUUCAAAUUGACUUAUACUGACUUAUGGAUUGGGGACGAUGAGAAAGCAAUGAAUAUUUUUUAAGCCUUUACAAAAUGCUGGGCCCUGUUGAGACGCCUUACAAACAUCUCUGAUCCUCACAACAACCCCAUGAGAUAGGUAUCAUUAUUCCUAUUUUACCGAUGAGGAUCCUGAAGCUCAGAGAAGCUAAGUAACUUACCCCAGAUCACACAGCCAGUAAAUGGCAGAGAUGAAAUUCCAAUUUUUACAUUUAGGAUCCUUCCCUGCCACACCUAGGAGCGAGCUCUCAUGUAUCACUGGAGUUAACAGAGAAUAUGAGGUGAACUCUGCUAUUAAUUAAACCUUAUUAAACUGAGAUGGUUUGGGAUCAGAUUUUAUUCCUCAUUAGGGAAUAAUUUCUGGGGAGAUGUUUAUGUAUUGCAAUUUGUACGUGUCAAAAUUUGAACUUGGGAUUUAUACUCAAACUUGCAAUACUUUAAAAAUCUUACUGUCUCCAACUUAAAGAUAUUUUCACAUUUUCCUUUUUUUAUUUUUUAUGACAUAGUCCUGGAAGUACAAGUGAAAAAAGAAAUCCUAUUUUAGCAUGAACAUGCACCUCCAAUUUUUUAGCUCUUACUAGCAGUUCCUGUAUACACAAACAUGUGAGAAGUCUCCAAAGAGAAGUUUCAGUUUUGCAAGCAAAAAAACAAAAACAAAAAAAACUAAUCACAUCGAAGAAAAGUAGGCACUGCACUUUCUAGAUGACAGUAUUAAUAUAUAAUUAUUUUAGAAGAAACUAUGAAUCUGUUUAAAUCCCCAAAGUUAAAUAACCUAAUCAGAUCACUUAGAGAAAUAGGUGCUUUUCGCUGCCCUGCCCUAAGAUCAUAUUGCUAUUUAACCUGCUUUUAAACAAACAAGAAUUUUUAAACAUUUUCUAUCCUUUAAGCAAAUGUUCUUUGCUUGGCUAAAUGACAAUGUUCAAGAAAUGCCUACCACAGAAGCAUAAAAAACCCCUGGCAACAUUCCAGAAGAAAUUCACCCCGCAUAAUGUGUUCCAGCUAAUGCUCAAUAGCUUUCGGGUGAACCUGCUGGCUCUGUGUGCCCUUGAACAGAAUCUGAAAAGAACAAAAGAAAAACUGAUAGACAUUUUCCCUUUUGUGAGUCUGGUGGAACUUUCCAAACUUCGAAAAAUGUACGGCUACCAUGAACCCGGCCCUGGGCUCUGAUGUAAACUUUGUUUUACUACCUUUGCUUCCCUGAAAUUCAACUAUAAUUAUAUUGUUUGUCUUUUCAUCCAAUAAAAUGUGCAUUAGCAUUUGGUCCUCUUUAGAGUGUAGUAUUUGUUUAGAUGAAUGUAUUCUUUCAAAUGAUUAGCAGUGCUGCCACAAUGAGAACACUUUAGAUUAAACUCUUGAUAUGGUAUUGAAAGGAGGGAGAUCAGCUCAAAAUGCUUCCAAAGUGUGCUCAUAACUGGCUGAGGCUAUCGACUUUUCUAGAUAUGUAUGAGAAUUUCACCAACCGCAAAAGACUUUAAGAUGAAAUCCCUGGCCCUUUUAUAAAGUGAAGUAGAUGCACAUUUUAAUCGGUUAUGCCCCUUUGCAACUUCUUCUUAGGAUAAACAUUUCCUAGUGAAAAAAACAACACGAGAGUUCCUAUUGUGGCUCAGCAGGUUAAGAACCCAACUAGAGUCCAUGAGGAUGCAGGUUCCAUCUCUGGCCUCGUUCAGUGAGUUAAGGAUCCCGCGUUGCCUUGAGCUGUGGUGUAGGCUGCAGAUGCAGCUCAGAUCUGGCGUUGCUGUGGUUGUGCUGUAGGCUGGCAGAUGCAGGUCCGAUUCGACUCCUAGCCUGGGAACUUCCAUAUGCCAUGGGUACAGCCCUAAAAAGUCCAAAAAACUGAAAAUAAAAAAUUAAAUCAUUGGCCAUUUUACAUCUCUGAAGCUGUAGUGAUACAUUUGGCGCCAAUUCUCUCUGGACAUGGGAGGCUGCAGCAUUGGGUGGGAGGGCUGAUACAGAGUGCAUUUGACCUUAAAUGCCCUGGAUGGAGGAAGAGGAGGAUGCUUGGAAAGAUAACAUUGUCUCCAUUUGAUGUUCUAGGACAUGUGCAUGGAAUUGAAACAACCCAUUUUGCAGGCAAGAAGCUAUAGAUGCAAAUGCCAGGCCUGGGGAAAACUGGACCCUGGGGAAGGAUGGAAGGCACUGGGGCUUGCCCUCACAGGCCCUCCCACUAUGGGGCCACCAGCCUGCUCCACGCAGAGCCUUCUCCGGGUUCCCUGGGGGACCUCUUGGAGGAGUGCAGCAGGAAGACUAUCGAUUGGCUCGGGACAUAAAAUAGACUAUUGACAGUAUCUCAGAGAUACCCCCAACAGGAUGGAAAAGAAAGGACUCACCCACAACUUUAAUGGCCAAAUAUAAAACACUGAAAUGUGCUCUGCUGGUUGUAACAUUCUCUUGGCAUUUCUUCAUUUAUUACUACGCUGGAAGCCUCAAAAAAAUGGAAGAGACCCAGCUCUGGGGACCUCUGAGAGGCCCUGGCUACCAGGAAGUCACGUGGUGUAUUAGGAGAAGGCAAGGCAUUUACAAAACCCUCAGCUGCUUUCUGCAGGAGAAAGCUGGGCCUCUAGACUCCCAGUCACCAGAGUGCAUUGCCAAACGCAAAGCCAGCACAAAACAGAUGAAACUACAGAGACCUUUGACUGGCAUCUUUAUCCUGAUGCCUCAAAAAGGAGCCAUGAUGAUGAUGAUUCAAGGUGCUUCCUUCCAGAUCCUUAAAGAGACACACACACUCAGAAUAAAUGAUGUUAUUUUCCGUGUUUUUCUUACUUAUGUGGUAUAAGAUUAUACACAUCCUAAAAAUUGCUUUAUUCAUUCCACAGUAUUUUGAGACUUAUCCAUGUGGCUUCAUAUAGAUUUAUUUCAAUACUCCUGGCUGCUGAUGGUACUCCAUCAUUUGAAACCACUACUUUUAUUUACCCAUAUCCCUCCUGACGUUCAGUAUUUGUCUGUGGCUGAUCCGAUGCAUUCUUCCAGCCCACUUAAGCAUUCCCUUCUUAGAAGUCUGACGGCACUUUAUUCUCCUUAGUUGUUCCACAUAUGUGUGGUCUGUUUCCCGGACGAGAAAGUUAAACUUCUAAGAGCAACUUCUAUGUCCGGCAUCUAAUCGAAUCAUUGCAUCUAUGUAAUACUCUGGUGAAUGACGAACUUUGGACUGUUGGCUCUCUCGGAGAGCUGAAGAGCAGCUCUGGACUCCCAGAGGUUCAACAAAUUCUAUCUAGUUAUUUAUUUCCUCUUGGUUUCUUAAAAGAGAAGUGCUGUAUUUUCAAAACAGGUUCAACUAAAAUUCACUUCCUUUCUUCAUCUAGAUUCGUGGCGGUGAGCAUCUCCUUAAAAUGUUCCAAAUCCGAACACCGGUGAUACCAUAAACGUUUCACCUUUAAAAGAUGAGACAGAGACAGACAGACAGACAGACGGACAGCAAUACAGAAAGAGAGAGCGAGAGAAAGAGAAGGAGGAGGGGGAAGAGAAAAAGGAGGAAGACUGAAAGGAUCCCCACCCCUCCGAAGGGCGGGGCCUGUGGCCCCUGCUGGCCUGGAGGCAAAGUCGGGCACAAAGGGCUGAUUCUCUUUGCAAAUGAAAUCUGGAUAACACACCCUCUCCCUUCUUUUCCUUGAAAAGUCUUCCCCUGCCACUUUUACUGUCAACUUUUAGGUUGCUCUUGUCAGAAUCAGUUUUCAUUUCUUUCCCUGGAAACUUUAUUCUCUGCCUCUUUCGGCUUCCUAAAGAAUUGGUUUGUUAAAGUUUUUAAUUGUUCGCGCUUUUUCUAGGGACAAUGAAGAAAGCGCAGAGUCUCCACAUCCACUCACCAGAAAUCCUCCAGAUCAUUCAACCCGACUCACAAUCAUGGCCGAAAGAGCUGCUUGGAAACUGUGAAAACCUUGCCAAAGGGACUCGCCCACUGCAUUGUUUGUUGGAGGAAAGGAGAAGGUGGGGACAUAGAAAAGCUGUGGAGGCACCCAGGUAUUCGGGGACCUCUCUGUAUUUGCGUUAGACCAUUUUUUCAUCUUGUGAAGUCAUUUUAACUCUUUCCUAGUCCAAGACACCAGCUUUUGGCUUUUUCGAGUCUGAUCCCUUUGCUCUGGCCAGGGUCCCCUUCCCCCGUGCCCCCCAAAUGCACCUACGCUUAUAUACAUGCCAUUCUGCAAAGAAUUUCCAGGAAGCCACAAAUCUCCUGAGACUAGAGAAGCCCAGGUAGAGAAGAUCUAAAAUAAGGUGAAAUUGCCAAGAAUCCAGAUGUUGGCAGAAACAGUAACAGUGACAGGCACUACAUGCACUGAUAGGAGCUACAAAAUAAAACCAAUCUCUGUAUGUGGGUGUUGGAGCCUAUUUGGGUUUGAUCCUGAGUUGGUCUUUUCAGACACACCUAUAUUUCCAUCACAGUUAGCAGGAUGAUCCAUACAUGCUCAGUGUGCCACCAUCUUUGAAUGCAAAGAAUGACUCUGGGUCGGGAAGAUGACAUGCUGGACAGGCAAAAGGCCGCACUGAUCAUGAGGAGAUGUGAUCAAAAUAUCAUCAAAAAUAUCUACAUCUGCAGCAAGUGCUAGAAAUAAGUGAAUAAGCGAUCUUGCCUUUCAGCACCCCUCACCUCAACUUCUCACCACAUCCUUGGCAUCAUUUCUUUCGGUAGCUUCUCUAUCCUACUUCAACGUCAAAGACUUCUUCAUGUGUCAUUGUCCUUAGAUCUAAUCUCUUCCAAACUCUUAGCUAUUCCCCAAACCAUACAGAUUACUGUCAUCAGAGUAACAUUUCCCAUUUACAGAGUGACUCCUAUGUGUCAACUAUGCAUGUAGCACCAAAAAUAUACUAUGCAUGUGUAUGAAAUCCAUGCAAUAACUCUGCUAGGCAGAUAGCAGUAUUUCCAUUUAAAGAGGAAAAACUUGAGGUUCAAAGAGCAGUGUCUUACUAAUGUUUCCAGAGCAAGGACCUGGCAGAACUGGGUUUAUCCUUAAUUCCAUGUGACUGCAAAUUCUCUCAGUCUUGUUGGCUCAUGCCACCAUCAUGUUUUUUCCAGAAAAUUCUUAAGAUUACGGAAUUCUCAGUUUAGAUGUUCUCAGCCUUCUUUGGCUCAUAGAAUAUUUGAGGAGAAAGGGAUCAGAGGCAAUCUUGUCUGACACACACACUUAACAAGUAAGGAAACUGACACUCACCUAGGAUGGGUUACUGGUCCAACCACGACCUUCCCUUUUCUAGUUCUCGAGGAGGCAGGAACCACAUCCUUUGGGAAGUUAUUUCCUGCUUCUCCUAGCAUAGCUCUAAGUGCACCAAACGUCUGUAGGUGGACAUUUGAUGACCAUUCCAAAAGGAGCAGAAACUCAAGUCCAGAACACCCGAACGACCGGCGCAAAGGAGGGCCAGACUCAGGUGGCAUCUACCUCAAAGGGACUUAACAAUCCAAGGUGUGCCCCUUCCUACCUCACCACCCCCCAGAAGAAGCCAAGAUAUUCCCUGGUCUUUGAAGCUAGUGUAGCAGUGAAAACAAGACAUGUAAAAUCACAGCGAAGGCAGCCCCCAAACCAGCACCUGCAUCCUAAAACCACUUCUACAGACAGCAGUGACAUGCAGCCCAAUUCAGCAGAUAAUGGCAAAGCCCUUCUCUUUCAGUCUGUGGUAGCUGGAAUGAGGAGGGAGAGGACAAGUCAGAGCUUGAAAGCUUGCUUUUAGGUUUGUUAUCAAGAACAACAAGUGACUGCCAUACUUCGAAUGUAUUUAAAAGUCCUGAAUCACAUAACUAGUCUGCCUUGCAUGGUCCUUGAAAAUGCAAAAAUAGAAAUGAAAGAAAUUAUCUAAGAGCAGCAAAGCAGGGAAACAGAGAUUAGCAUGAGAUUAGGAGUGCGGGCUGCGAUUCAUUAUUACCGAUGCUUAUAAACACUUGCUGUCUGACAGUAGUUGACAAGCCCUGCUAAGGACAGAGUAAUAAACAUGGU